GACGAACGCUGGCGGCGUGGAUUAGGCAUGCAAGUCGAACGGUAUCAUCCUUUCGGGGGUGAGAGAGUGGCGAACUGGUGAGUAACACGUAGGUUAUCUACCCUCAAGACGGGGACAACCCAGGGAAACUUGGGCUAAUACCGGAUGUGAGCAACUUUUAGUUGUUUGAAAGGUGGCGUAAGCUGUCGCUUGGGGAUGAGCCUGCGUCCUAUUAGUUAGUUGGUGAGGUAACGGCUCACCUAGGCAAUGAUAGGUAGGCGGCCUUAACGGGUGGUCGCCCACACUGGGAUUGAGAUACGGCCCAGACUCCUACGGGAGGCAGCAGUCGAGAAUAGUCUACAAUGGUCGGAAGACUGAUAGUGCGACGCCGCGUGAACGAUGAAUCCCUUCGGGGUGUAAAGUUCUUUUAUAUGUGAGCAGUGCUUCUUAUAUUAACAGUAUGGGGAGAGAGGAUAUUAGCAUAUGAAUAAGCAACGGCUAACUCCGUGCCAGCAGCCGCGGUAAACUCG
rnacentral:rRNA from 1 species